CCUACGUGGGGCUGCAGUGGGGAAUAUUGGACAAUGGGCGAAAGCCUGAUCCAGCCAUGCCGCGUGUGUGAAGAAGGCCUUCGGGUUGUAAAGCACUUUCAGUGGGGAAGAAAGCCUUGGGGCUAAUACCCUCGAGGAAGGACAUCACCCACAGAAGAAGCACCGGCUAACUCCGUGCCAGCAGCCGCGGUAAUACGGAGGGUGCGAGCGUUAAUCGGAAUUACUGGGCGUAAAGCGCGCGUAGGCGGUCUGAUAAGCCGGUUGUGAAAGCCCCGGGCUCAACCUGGGAACGGCAUCCGGAACUGUCAGGCUAGAGUGCAGGAGAGGAAGGUAGAAUUCCCGGUGUAGCGGUGAAAUGCGUAGAGAUCGGGAGGAAUACCAGUGGCGAAGGCGGCCUUCUGGACUGACACUGACGCUGAGGUGCGAAAGCGUGGGUAGCAAACAGGAUUAGAUACCCCGGUAGUC
rnacentral:rRNA from 1 species